rnacentral:piRNA from 1 species
UGUUUGGAGCCUCAAAACGUUCUCUACCAGG